ensembl:lncRNA
AAACCCUGAAAGCGCCCGCAAUACACCUCCGGUAAACCCCGCAAAGUGUACUUGCUACGCAGAAUUAUCUACACUGUCGGUAAACCCCUUCAGUGAACAACACAUUUAAUGCCGCAAAUCGCCGUUCUCAAACACAGAGCGCGCGCUCAUUCCUCACACACGGUUAAACCACCGUACCGCCCCAAAUUCGUUCUCUUGCUGCAGUCAAGAAAAAUGAACGAAAUGGGUCCGCAGAUAUAGCUCUUAGACUCGGCAGGUUUGCACAACAGAAGCCCAUAAAGAGAAUUAGAUGAGCAACUCACCUCUCUUUAUCUUUCCUUGCGAUGCAUCAAAUAUACUUCAAGGAUCGAUCAGUAUCCCAGCGGUGCCUCCAUUAACUGAUGCAAAAUUUAAUCCAAUUCAGACGGUCAAGGUGUAAUAAUAUGUAAAUUUAUUAAAAAGAAUAUAGAGAACAGAAACCACAAAUCAUAACUUGGAAAUAAAGUUCUGAAUAAUAAUAACAACCUUCAAAUAUAGAAAAUGUAAAUCCAAUGUACAUUUUUAAUAACAAUCCAUUUAUGAUGGAUUGAACCCAACCAGUAUUAAUCAAAACAUUAAUAAAAUUGUAAGUAAAACAUAAACAAUUAUUCUGUUCGAAUCAAAAGUACCAAAAUAUUAGUAUUAAAAUAUUAAAGUAUCAGAGUAUCAAAGUAUCUGAAUUUCAAGGUAUCUGAAUUUGAAUAAAAACCUGUAAGAGUUCUAAGUCUGAGUGUAAGAGUUACCAGAGUCUCAGAAAGUCAAACCCUAUUCUAUUUUGCAGAGUCUAUCUUAUAUACUGUUGUUCUAGACAUAAGUCGUCAUCUGGCUAUCACUAAUAACACCUGACCUUUAAAAAUAGUCCAGUCAAUGUCUCGAUUUUGGACUUCUUCCUCUUUUAGAUUCAAAGUAUCAUACAGAUAAUUCUAAGAAAUAUUGAUACAAAAGAACAAUACGUGCAGUUCAACUUCAUAUGCAAAACAGACUCAGCUGACUACGCAGUUAGAAAUACUGUGAAAUUACAUAUGAAAUAUACCAUAAAGUUUACCAAAAACAUUUUUGAAUAUAAAAAUGAAACCUGUUUAUAUAUAUAUAUAUAUGAGACCGAUCACUACCAUGAAAUAUUAAUUUUUAACUUUUGAAAUGAAACUUAUCCUUAUGAAUAGAACACAUUUUGAGUACGUGACUUCUCAGAAUCUCUCAACAACACUUGGGUUUAAUUUAAAUACAUGGACUUCUUCUCAGAAUCUCUAUCACCAUGUGGAUUUCUUAGAAUCUCCACACACCAGAGUAUUUCAGCAGCCGAUUUAAAAAAAAAAAAAAAAAACCUAUACUAUUUUGUUAAGAAAAAAAAAUCUAAAUCGGAUUCCCUGUAUAAACUUUAUUCAUCUUGAGAUCUGAUAAGUGAAAGUGUUAUGUGAUGGCAAAAUUAAUCUAAUAGCACAUAACUAAUGAUGGGCGAGGUUACAU